AAGCCACAUCGUCCUCCUUCUGGGCUUUCAGGCGCUUGGGGCUGCUGGGCCCUCCAGAACGCGACGCAGACCUCUGAGCUGGCCGGCUGGAGGGGGCCACAUCACAGGGCUCCCGGAGGCAGCUGCGCUUGCGGGGACACCCUUCCGACGUGCUGCUCCAGUUGUGCUUGACCUUGCCCCGCUCGGACGCCAUGGGCACCUGCAAGUUCUCAAGGUUUCAGAGAUGCCAAACCGUGUCGGAGAAGUCAAAGCGAUCCAAAAUUUACUAAAGGCUGCCGUUGGUUUCCAAGCCCACAACGUGCUUCUGAGAUCAGGAAGCCUUCACUUUGCCCAGCGCUACUUCGGAGAUGCCUAAGCGCUUCCGGGGCUACAAAGCGCUUUGAUCAGUUUGCAAUAUAAAGCCCUUCAGAACUGUCAAAGCGCUUCAGAAAACCAUAUGGCGCUUCAAGAUCCACACAUGGCUGCCGGACCCGCAGCCCUGGGGCCCGGCGCUUAGCCCGUAGGCCAGGGCCAGACCCGGGCGCCGAAGCACGCCCCGCACCUGCGGCCCGACCAGAUCCGGGCCGGAAGGGGCCCGAGCGGCCCCUCGGGAGCUGGCAGCGCCCCCGACCGCCAACUCAGGACGCCCCCCGCCGGCUGCCGCCGCUGUCCCGCUGGACAGCCCGCCGCCUGCCCCAGCCCUACAGCCCCGCCUGGCCUGGCCUCCGCCCAAACUGCGACCACUCCGGCCUCCGUGGCGCCCGCCCUCCGGAACCAGCCCUGCGGCCCGCAGGCCGGAGAACGGCAGGGGCGGGGCCUGCGCCAAAUGGAAGGCGCCCAUUGCUCGACCCGGCAAGGGGCGGGACUCCGAGCAAGACGGAGCCCGCCUCAAAGCCAAGCCGCUUGGAGUCGGGACGGUACGCCUUAGGAAGCUCGUCCAUUGGUCAGAAGCCAGAUGGGGCGGAGCCACUCACGUGGGCUUGAACAGCGGGAAGCGGAGGCCAGCCAGAUGUGCAGGCAGGCGGUGUCCGCUGACGCGCCUCGCUUAACGCUGUUCCCCUCAGUGCCGGCCCCUGUGCCUGAAGCUUUCAGACCUGGAUUUCUCAUCGAGCCAAAGCAAACCGUGUGCUGAGCAUUAUCACCCCACUUUAUAAAGCAGAAAACUGUGGCUCAGAGAGACUAAGUACACACCCAGAAAGGGGAAGAAUUAGAAUUAGAAGCCACCAAAAAAAAAAAAAAAGACUACACAAAAAUGUGGACUAUCCGCCUGGUGAAAAAUAUUAAAGACGGCUGGGCGCGGUGGCUCAUGACUGCAAUCUCAGCACUUUGGAAGACCGAGGCGGGAGGAUGGCUUGAUCUCGGGAGUUCGAGACCAGCCUAGCCAACAUGGUGCGACCCCCAUCUCUACAAAAAAUAAAAUUAGCUGGGCGUGGUGCCAGCUACUCAGGCUGAGGUAGGAGGAUCACUUGAGGCCGGGAGGUCGAGGCUGCAGUGAGCUGUGAUCCCGCCACUGCACUCCAGCCUGGAGGACAGAGCAAGACCCUGUCUCAAAAAAGAAAAAAAAAAAAAGAAAAGAAAAUCAAAGACAAGGUACAAAUUUAGAAAAAUACUCGAAACAUACGACAAAGGGCUGAUAUUCGAUGUAGCAAUUCUCCCAAAAUAAUAAAAUAACUUAGUAUUAAGACUGGCAAAGGAGGCCAGGUCCAGUGGCACGCAUCUGUAAUCCCAGCACUUUGGGAGGCCGAGGCGGGUGGAUCUCUUGAGGCCAAGAGUUCGAGACCAGCGUGGGCAACAUGGUGAAAUCCUGUCUCUAGUGAAACACAAAAA